rnacentral:rRNA from 1 species
CCUACGGGGGGCAGCAGUGGGGAAUAUUGCACAAUGGGGGGAACCCUGAUGCAGCGACGCCGCGUGAGCGAAGAAGGUUUUCGAAUCGUAAAGCUCUGUCCUAUGGGAAGAUAAUGACGGUACCAUAGGAGGAAGCCCCGGCUAACUACGUGCCAGCAGCCGCGGUAAUACGUAGGGGGCUAGCGUUGUCCGGAAUCACUGGGCGUAAAGGGUUCGCAGGCGGAAAAGCAAGUCAGGUGUGAAAGGCGAGGGCUUAACCCUCGUAAGCAUUUGAAACUGUUUUUCUUGAGAUGUGGAGAGGUAAGUGGAAUUCCUAGUGUAGCGGUGAAAUGCGUAGAUAUUAGGAGGAAUACCGGUGGCGAAGGCGACUUACUGGACACAAACUGACGCUGAGGAACGAAAGCGUGGGGAGCAAACAGGAUUAGAUACCCGAGUAGUC